rfam:Oryza sativa (indica cultivar-group) chromosome 11, whole genome shotgun sequence.
AAUUUCAGCUGAAAAAGUCAUGAACAUAAAAGUUGUAGAACUCAUCAAGAUAUACAACUUUUAUUUUCGUCAUUUCUUCAUCCGAUAAAGUGAUAGUAAUAUUGUUUACAAAAUUUACAUAUCUCUCUUAUAGUUUAUAAACCAAAUGAGAGAUAUGUAAAUUUUGUGAACAAUGUUACUAUCUUUUUGUCGGAUGAAGAAAUGACCAAAAUAAAAGUUAUAGAUCUUGAUGAGUUAUACAACUUUAUUGUUGAUGACUUUUUCAGUUGAAAUC